rnacentral:miRNA from 12 species
GGCCGGCCGGUAGGUCAGUCCGUCUGUCUGUCAGUCGGUCGGUCUGUCGGUCGGUCGGUGUCCCGGC